UACAGAGGUGGCAAGCGUUGUUCGGAAUUACUGGGCGUAAAGGGCGCGUAGGCGGUCUGUUGCGUCCGCUGUGAAAACUCGGGGCUUAACCCCGAGCCUGCAGUGGAUACGGGCAGACUAGAGGUAGGUAGGGGAGAAUGGAAUUCCCGGUGUAGCGGUGAAAUGCGCAGAUAUCGGGAGGAACACCGGUGGCGAAGGCGGUUCUCUGGGCCUUACCUGACGCUGAGGAGCGAAAGCGUGGGGAGCGAACAGG
rnacentral:rRNA from 1 species